rnacentral:lncRNA from 1 species
GCCGCCGACAAGAAUUCGCGGUGAGAACGUCGUCGACCGCAUUACCGCCAACCCAAAGGACUGCGACCUCAAGGCCUUGCUCCUUCAGCUGUAGCGCGACGUGAGCCCUGCCAUUUCACUUUCAAGAUACGUAAGCUGCUUCGACACUGAAAAUGCCGACGCAAUGGUGCAUCUGAACAGCUAAUGGAUACCAUGCCCACUCUGUAACGACCAGUGCUUUUAAUGAAACAGCACGGCGGAAUAAAGUCAACCACGUGAGGCACCUCAGACAGCAUAUGCAGUGGGUUGUGACGGAUUCAAUGAUUUCAUCAGCAUUUUCACUGGAUGCAAGGCUGUGAAUCUCUUGUAUGAUGCAUGUGUGGAAAAGAAACCCAACAUC